rnacentral:lncRNA from 1 species
GUGAACCUGGCACACUGCAACCUCCACCUCCUGGUUCAAGCGAUUCUGCUGUCUCAGCCUCCUGAGUAACUGGGACUACAGGUGCGUGCCACCAUGCCCAGCUAAUUUUUCAUAUUUUUAGCAGAGACAGGAUUUCAUCAUGUUGGCCAGGCUGGUCUUAAAUUCCUGGCCUCAAGUGAUCUGCCCGCCUCAGCCUCCCAAAGUACUGGGAUUACAGGCAUGAGCCACCACACCCGGCCUUUUUUUUUUCUUUCUUUCUUUUUUUGUUUUAAGAUAGGAUCUCCCUCUAUUACCAAGGCUGGAAUACAGUAGCGCCAUCAUAGCUCACUGCAGCCUCCAAUCCUGGGCUCAAGCAAUGCUCCCACUUCAGCCUGUCAAAGAGCUGAGACAACAGGUGCACACAACUGUGCCUGGCUAUUUUAUUAUUUUUUUAUAGAGACAAGGUCUCACUUUGUUGCCCAGGCUGGUCUCAAACUCCUGGCUUUAACACUUUCAAGGCCAAGGCAGGUGGAUCACUUGAGGUCAGGAGUUCGGGACCGGCCUCACCAACAUGGUGAAACCCCAUCUCUACUAAAAAUACAAAAAUUAGCCAGGCAUGGUGGCGGGCACCUGUAAUCCCAGCUACUUGGGAAGCUGAGGCAGGAGAAUCACUUGAACCUGGGAGGCGGAGGUUGCAGUGAGCCGAGAUCGCGCCAUUGUACUCUAGCCUGGCCUGGGUAACAGAGCAAGACUCUGUCUC